rnacentral:rRNA from 1 species
GAUGAACGCUGGCGGCGUGCCUAAUACAUGCAAGUCGAGCGAACGGACGAGAAGCUUUCUUCUCCGAUGUUAGCGGCGGACGGGUGAGUAACACGUGGAUACCCUACCUAUAAGACUGGGAUAACUUCGAGAAACCGGAGCUAAUACCGGAUAAUAUUUUGAACCGCAUGGUUCAAAAGUGAAAGACGGUCUUGCUGUCACUUAUAGACGGAUCCGUGCUGCAUUAGCUAGUUGGUAAGGUAACGGCUUACCAAGGCAACGAUGCAUAGCCGACCUGAGAGGGUGAUCAGCCACACUGGAACUGAGACACGGUCCAGACUCCUACGGGAGGCAGCAGUAGGGAAUCUUCCGCAAUGGGCGAAAGCCUGACGGAGCAACGCCGCGUGAGUGAUGAAGGUCUUCGGAUCGUAAAACUCUGUUAUUUGGUAAGAACAUAUGUGUAAGUAACUGUGCACAUCUUGACGGUACCUAAUCAGAAAGCCACGGCUAACUACGUG